GAAUACUACAUGAAUAUUACAACAGCCCACCGUCACCAUAAUGACAGCAACACAUUCAGGACUUUAGUAGAACUGCACGAAAAUAGCUGCUUCCUCAAUUCUCUCUACACAAGACAGUGAGAAGACAUAUAUACCACCCAGCUGUCAGUGGGAAAUUCACUGUCCGUUCAAGCAACAAAAAGGACCUCGUACUUUAAAUAUGAAAAUGAUAUUGACCAGCAUGAUCAUUGCAGCUCUGACAACCGCUCCUCUGGCACAAGGGUUUUCAGAGUGUAAUCUAACUCAACCUAGAUCCCAUAAGUGUUUUGGAAUAUUGGGACAACCACUCAUUUUUUACUUACCUACUAGUCUAAACACAAAGACCAGAUUGGAGAAGAAUACAGAUAUUAUUUUAAACUUAGAAAAUUACUCCUUACUAAAUAUAAAUGAAGAAUACAAGAGUCGUUCUACAUUCUUCACAAAUGGAACAUUUAUGCUCAGCAGUGCAACAAAAAAUGAUUCUGGAGAGUACACGAUGGAAAAACACACAUCUAAUGGUUUGUUAUUGCACAAAACAAUUGUUGAAUUGGACAUACUAGGUAAGACAACAAUUACUAUUUUCUUCAGAUAAUAUAUGUGUAACGGCAAUAAUGCAUAUGGUAUGGAUUUACUGUAA